rnacentral:tRNA from 1 species
GCCGAGGUGGUGAAAUUGGUAGACACGCAUGAUUCAGGUUCAUGUGAGGCGACUCGUGGAGGUUCAAGUCCUCUCCUCGGCA